GACGAACGCUGGCGGCGUGCCUAAUACAUGCAAGUCGAACGCAGUGGGGACGGGUGAGUAACCCGUGGGUAACCUCCCAUCAGAGGGGAUAACACUUGGAAACAGGUGCUAAACCGAUACUGAUGGAUGGACCCGCGGUGCAUUAGCUAGUUGGUGAGGUAACGGCUCACCAAGGCCACGAUGCAUAGCCGACAUGCGAGGGGGUACGGCAACAUGGGGACGGAUACACGGCCCAGACGCCUACGGAAGGCAGCAGUAGGGAAUCUUCGGCAAUGGACGAAAGUCUGAACGAGCAACGCCGCGUGAGUGAAGAAGGUUUUCGGAUCGUAAAACUCUGUUGUUAGAGAAGCGGUAUCUAACCAGAAAGCCACGGCUAACUACGUGCCAGCAGCCGCGGUAAUUC
rnacentral:rRNA from 1 species